rnacentral:snoRNA from 1 species
GGGCCAAGGUCCCAGCGGAGAGGGUAAUAUACUGGAACGAUGCCUCUCUAACAUAUAGAAUCAAUGCCUUCGCAGAUUAAAUGUCUGCCGAAUCGUAGGAUGCCUGAAUAUCUUGUCAUUUUUUUGUGCAUUCGGAACCCUCGGCCAAAUUUUU